GGCUGGUCCAAAGGUAUUGAGUUAUCUCACUUGAUUGUUCACAGUCAGUUACAGAUUAAACUCCUUGUUCUACUCUUUCCCUUCUCACUACUACAUUUGACUAGUGUUAA
rnacentral:Y_RNA from 1 species